AUCAUUUCUUGGCCUUUUGGCUAAAAUCAAAUGUAGCAUCUGUUCUGAUCAUUUUAAUAUCUGCUAUAUCCUCUGUCCUUCUAUUUUUAAUGACUCCCAUUCUGUUCAAAGCCCUACUCUGAAACCUCCCCGUGGGCUAUUUCUGAGUGUCUAAAGCUCUCUGUAUACACAUUGCACAGUGCUUUCAGUAUUG